rnacentral:rRNA from 1 species
GGGUUGUGAGGUUAAGCGACUAAGCGUACACGGUGGAUGCCCUGGCAGUCAGAGGCGAUGAAGGGCGUGCUAAUCUGCGAUAAGCGCCGGUAAGGUGAUAUGAACCGUUAUAACCGGCGAUACCCGAAUGGGGAAACCCAGUGUGAUUCGUCACACUAUCAUUAACUGAAUCCAUAGGUUAAUGAGGCGAACCGGGGGAACUGAAACAUCUAAGUACCCCGAGGAAAAGAAAUCAACCGAGAUUCCCCCAGUAGCGGCGAGCGAACGGGGAGGAGCCCAGAGCCUGAAUCAGCAUGUGUGUUAGUGGAAGCGUCUGGAAAGGCGCGCGAUACAGGGUGACAGCCCCGUACACAAAAGCGCAUGUGCUGUGAGCUCGAUGAGUAGGGCGGGACACGUGAUAUCCUGUCUGAAUAUGGGGGGACCAUCCUCCAAGGCUAAAUACUCCUGACUGACCGAUAGUGAACCAGUACCGUGAGGGAAAGGCGAAAAGAACCCCGGCGAGGGGAGUGAAAAAGAACCUGAAACCGUGUACGUACAAGCAGUGGGAGCACAGGUUUACCUGUGUGACUGCGUACCUUUUGUAUAAUGGGUCAGCGACUUAUAUUCUGUAGCAAGGUUAACCGUAUAGGGGAGCCGGAGGGAAACCGAGUCUUAACCGGGCGUUAAGUUGCAGGGUAUAGACCCGAAACCCGGUGAUCUAGCCAUGGGCAGGUUGAAGGUUGGGUAACACUAACUGGAGGACCGAACCGACUAAUGUUGAAAAAUUAGCGGAUGACCUGUGGCU